rnacentral:rRNA from 1 species
GCCUGACCUCGGAUCAGACGUGAUUACCCGCUGAAUUUAAGCAUAUUAUUAAGCGGAGGAAAAGAAACUAACAAGGAUUCCCCUAGUAACGGCGAGUGAACGGGGAAGAGCCCAACACCGAAUCCCUUGGCGCAAGUCAACGGGAAAUGUGGUGUUAAGGUAGCCCUUCGUGUCAGUCUAGGCGUCUCAAGUCCACCUGAUUGUGGCUCAAGCCCAGAGAGGGUGUAAGGCCCGUAGAGACGCUCCGACUGAUUCCUGGGGUUUACCUACGAGUCGGCUUGUUUGGGAAUGCAGGCCAAAGCGGGUGGUAAACUCCAUCCAAGGCUAAAUACUGGCACGAGUCCGAUAGCGGACAAGUACCGUGAGGGAAAGUUGAAAAGAACUUUGAAGAGAGAGUUCAAUAGUACGUGAAACCGCUUAGAGGCAAACGGAUGGUGCUCAUACUGGCCUGAGGAAUUCAACUGUGACGGUGGCUGGACGAGCUGGCGUUCCGAUCUCUCUUUUGGGACGGGCGUCGGUUUGGCUAUCAGCUCCGACAUGGUGCACUUUCCUUGGUGCCUCCGCCACGACCGACGACACUGGCUACCCGCGGCUGGGGUAAGGUGACAAACUGCUUCGGCAAUUUGUGUUAUAGACCCCGGCGUCGGACAUGGUUUGGCCAGGACGUCGAGCUUGCGGCGCCCGCUCCUUGUGGGCUCGCAUGUUGGCUAGCUUGGCUGCGCCGAUGCUUGCACUGGACAACCAGUACAGGUGACGGUUGUGGUCUUGUCUCUAGUUGGCCUCUGCGAGUUUGGCGCCUAUAGUCUGUGGUGUACUUGUGGGUAGACUAUCCGACCCGUCUUGAAACACGGACCAAGGAGUCUAACAUGUGCGCGAGUCAUGGGGAUUCUACGAAACCCAAAGGCGCAGUGAAAGUAAAGGCCUGCUUCUCGUAGGCUGAGGUGGGAUCUCGUGCAUCGCGAUUGGCGAGCGCACCACCGGCCCGUCCUAUCUGUCUCUGUCAGUGGGGCGGCGCAAGAGCGUACACGUUGGGACCCGAAAGAUGGUGAACUAUGCUUGCGCAGCUCGAAGUCAGUGGAAACACUGAUGGAGGAGCGCAGCGUUUCUGACGUGCAAAUCGAUCGUCAAACGUGAGUAUAGGGGCGAAAGACUAAUCGAACCAUCUAGUAGCUGGUUCCCUCCGAAGUUUCCCUCAGGAUAGCUGGCACUCGGGAAACAGUUUUAUCCGGUAAAGCGAAUGAUUAGAGGCAUUGGGGUCGAAACGACCUCGACCUAUUCUCAAACUUUAAAUGGGUAAGAUGCUCGUCUCGCUUAAUUGGAGGCGGGCUUCACCUCUCUAUAAACGUGAAUGUGAGUGCCCAGUGGGCCAUUUUUGGUAAGCAGAACUGGCGCUGUGGGAUGAACCAAACGCGCGGUUAAGGCGCCCAAUGCGGACGCUCAUGAGACACCACAAAAGGUGUUGGUCGAUACUGACAGCAGGACGGUGGCCAUGGAAGUCGGAACCCGCUAAGGAGUGUGUAACAACUCACCUGCCGAAUCAACCAGCCCUGAAAAUGGAUGGCGCUGGAGCGUCGGGCCUAUACCGUGCCGUUGGGGCGAAGCAGACAAAUAAUCUGUGUGGAUGUCCCAACGAGUAGGAGGGUCGCCGUGGUGAGCGCAGAAGGUGCGGCCGUGAGGCCGGCUGGAGCCGCCACGGGCGCAGAUCUUGGUGGUAGUAGCAAUUACUCAAGUGAGAACCUUGAGGACUGAAGUGGAGAAGGGUUCCAUGUGAACAGCAGUUGAACAUGGGUCAGGCGGUCCUAAGCGAUCGGGUAACUCCGUACCUAGACGAGGGUGACAACUAUCACUGAUAAUACUGUGAAGUGUUAUAGCCCUCCGGAGCGAAAGGGAAUCGUGUUAAUAUUCACGACCCUUACCGUGGAGAUCGCCCCUUUCGGGGGGCAAGUGCGGUAACGCAAACGAACACAGAGACGUCGGCUGGAGCCCCGGGAAGAGUUCUCUUUUCUUUGUAAGGAGCGUACCCCCUGGAAUCGGCUUGUCCGGAGAUAGGGGCGUGGCUUCCGUAAAGCAGCGCGGGUCUUGCGCUGUCCGGUGCACUCUAGUCGGCCCUUGAAAAUCUGUGGGAGACAGUGUGAUUUUCACGGUAGGCCGUACCCAUAUCCGCAGCAGGUCUCCAAGGUGAACAGCCUCUAGUCCUAGAACAAUGUAGGUAAGGGAAGUCGGCAAAAUGGAUCCGUAACUUCGGGAAAAGGAUUGGCUCUGAGGGCUGGGUCGGAUGGGCUGGCGUAAGAAGCUGUUCCGGUUUUGGUGAGGACUGGGCGAGGCUUUCGGGCUUUACUCGGACCAUGCCGAGACCAGGCAGUAGACGACGUCAGCUGUGCUUGUCGUGUUUCGGCGCGGCAGCUUCGUCCGGCAACAAACAGCCAACUCAGAACUGGCACGGACUAGGGGAAUCCGACUGUCUAAUUAAAACAAAGCAUUGCGAUGGCUGUUGCUCGGUGUUGACGCAAUGUGAUUUCUGCCCAGUGCUCUGAAUGUCAAAGUGAAGAAAUUCAAUCAAGCGCGGGUAAACGGCGGGAGUGACUACGACUCUCUUAGACGGGCCGCUUGAUGAUGGUGUGCUGGACUGAGAGACAAACCUGAGCGUGGCGUGGGCAGACCAGCCUGCUGUUACUUGGUGGACAUGCAGGUUAGGCCACUGCCACCUCGAGAUGGUGAAACUAUGCUAUGUUGAGGCAGAAGCUUGGCCGAAGCUUGGAUGACUGUUCAGUAAUGGCGGCUGGAUGCCGGGGGGCUCCAGUUCGAAAAAUGGCUCCACUACUGGGGAAACCUGGUAGAGGGUGAACAUUACUGAUCAGGAUUCCGGGCUAAAGCUUUGCUUCUAGUGCGGAUGAUUGUGAGGAUUGUUCUGCCUUCGGAUUGGGUGGCCCCCCGCACCCGGUUCGGUCUGGUGGUUCGAUUCUCACCGGAGGGAUCCUUGCUCCGUAGGUACGCCCUUGGAGUAGGGGGAACUUCGCUCGAAUUGAAACACGGAUCAGGAUCGGGCCUGCACGCGCUAUGGUCGGGUGCGGCUCGAACUCUAACAUACUUUCAUUUAGCUGGUCUCCGCUUAGGCGGGUCCGGGUUUCGAUUCGGAUGUUGAUGAUCGCAGGGUAAAGGCGCGAUGGCAGAGCUGGCUCGUCUUGGCGACGCCGGAGUGCUUAUCCCUGUCUGACAGUGUUGGUGCCUCCAAGUGGCGAGAGUCGGG